rnacentral:tRNA from 1 species
GGCCUUAUAGUCAAAAAUGACGUUAGACUGCAAUUCUAAAGGAGUAAUGAAUUACUAAGGCUU